ensembl:misc_RNA Y_RNA Y RNA
GGCUGGUCCGAUGGCAGUGGGUUAUCAGAACUUAUUAACAUUAGUGUCACUAAAGUUGGUAUACCACCCCCCACUGCUAAAUUUGACUGGCUUUAA